CCUACGGGAGGCAGCAGUAGGGAAUAUUGCUCAAUGGGGGAAACCCUGAACCAGCAACGCCGCGUGGAGGAUGAAGGUUUUAGGAGUGGAAACUCCUUUUGUUAGAGAAGAUAAUGACGGUAUCUAACGAAUAAGCACCGGCUAACUCCGUGCCAGCAGCCGCGGUAAUACGGAGGGUGCAAGCGUUACUCGGAAGCACUGGGCGUAAAGAGCGCGUAGGCGGGUUAGCAAGUCAGAGGUGAAAUCCUAUGGCUUAACCAGAGAACUGCAUUUGAAACUGUUAUUCUAGAGUAUGGGAGAGGUAGGCGGAAUGCGUGGUGUAGGGGUAAAAUCCGUAGAGAUCA
rnacentral:rRNA from 1 species